UUGGACUGUUUUGGGACUGUUUUUGUCAAGUUUUUGUUUUCGUUUUCGCAAAUUAAUUCGCAAGGCUGACGUUUGAUUGCGAAUUUUCAAGUACGCUUGUGGGCGAACUUUUGGGUCUUUUGGCCGAUUGUUGACUGUUGUUGUGCCGAAUUAUGGCGACUGUCGGCGUCGGCGGUUGCCGGUGCUUCAAGAUUUAUAUGGUGCGGCUCCCACAUGUACAUUUUGCACUUUGACAUUUUAUGCACUCAUCUCGAGGAGCGCUUUAUUCGACCUUCGUUGCAUCGAAGCCAGUGAGAGGCUUUGGCCCAGUUUGCAGCCGAAUUCUACAGUCUAUUUUGAGCAAUAGCAUUGAAUUGGAACAUUGAUUGACCUUCAAGACUUCACUGAAUAAUAUCAAUAAUAUUCAGCUCCCUCCUCCCUCGAGUCAGACGGAUGGAGUUUUGCUAUUGUGGACAAGGCUGUGUCGGACGUCAUGGACACACCUGCUCUUGUGGACGGUUGAAUCAGACUUGAAAUCCUUUCACAAAACUUUGCAUGGAUGAGAUUCAUAUGGUCAGAGUACAAAUCGAGGAGAAACCCAUCGGAAGUGAAGCAAAAUUGACCAACAAGACUGCCAAACGCCGGGUUGCCUGUGCUACAAGAUUGGCCUAACGUCCACAAUAGUAGCGACAAGUUUAUGAGAUCUUGAAACUAGUUCUCAAACUGGAUAAAGAAUUGCAAGAACUCAAAACUAAAUUGGAAGAGCUCAAGAAGAGAGGAUGAUUUCAAGACUGACAGGUGUGGUGAUUUUUAAUAAGUAUGACGAUUCACUUGGUGGGAUCUGAGAUGCGAUGUUGAAAAUAGAUGGCAGAUUUAAUUAUUUUUUCCGGAAAUAAUAUUGCAAGGCCUCUAAAAAGAUUAACAAAAUAAAUAUUUAAAUUGAGUUAAAUUGCCACAAGUUUUAGCCUCCUUUGUGUCCCAUA